rnacentral:antisense_RNA from 1 species
CUUGACGGAGCCGACCCACAACGGCCGGUCCGCCGGCCGCCCCUGCCCGUACGUCGCCAGCAGAGCCUGGGCCUC